GGAGAAUUGGCAGAGUGGUCGAAUGCACUAGUCUUGAAAACUAGCGUACCGCAAGGUACCGAGAGUUCGAAUCUCUCAUUCUCCGCCA
rnacentral:tRNA from 1 species